rnacentral:lncRNA from 1 species
UUUUAAUGCACUUUUUUUUCCAGGCAAAAGAGCUUCAGAAAACAUCCGUCACUAAGCAGUUUUACAAAUGGCACUUUUGGUUACAUUAGAUAAUUGGAUACCAGCCCCACGUGUCCUCUCUGACAGACUAGUUGUAGAUCAGCUUUACAAUGCAACUCUUUCUUAGGAUAAAAAAUGGUUAAUUUUUUCUAAAGAAAGGAAAAGCUGAAACCCUAAAGGCAUUGUUUUAAAAAUGUAACAUUUAUUUCAUGCUAUACUAUUUGUCCUCUUGGUAUUGAACUGAGGAAAAACAUAUUAUACCUGAAAUUCUUCUUUGCAUGAGUAAAACCAUGGUCAUGACACCAACAGACUCCAACCAAUUUGCAAAACUGAAAUCUUGGGUU